ACUCCUACGGGAGGCAGCAGUGGGAAGUAUUGCACAAUGGGGGAAACCCUGAUGCAGCCAUGCCGCGUGUGUGAAGAAGGCCUUGGGUUGUAAAGCACUUUCAGUAGGGAGGAAGGUAGUGUAGUUAACACCUGCAUUAUUUGACGUUACCUACAGAAGAAGCACCGGCUAACUCCGUGCCAGCAGCCGCGGUAAUACGGAGGGUGCGAGCGUUAAUCGGAAUUACUGGGCGUAAAGCGCAUGCAGGCGGCCUGUUAAGUCAGAUGUGAAAGCCCGGGGUCUUAACCUCGGAAUUGCAUUUGAAACUGGCAGGCUAGAGUCUUGUAGAGGGGUUAGAAUUUCAGGUGUAGCGGUGAAAUGCGUAGAGAUCUGAAGGAAUACCAGUGGCGAAGCGGCCCCUGGACAAAGACUGACGCUCAGAUGCGAAAGCGUGGGAGCAAACAGGAUUAGAUACCCCGUGGUAGACUGU
rnacentral:rRNA from 1 species